rnacentral:rRNA from 1 species
UACGUAGGGACGAGCGUUGUCCGGAAUUACUGGGCGUAAAGGGGCGCAGGCGGUAUAUCAAGUCAGCUGUCAAAGACUGGGGCUCAACCCUGGUAUGCGGUUGAAACUGAUAUGCUGGAGUGCUGUAGAGGCAAGUGGAAUUCCCAGUGUAGCGGUGAAAUGCGUAGAUAUUGGGAAGAACAUCGGUGGCGAAGGCGACUUGCUGGGCAGCAACUGACGCUGAGGCGCGAAAGCCAGGGGAGCAAACAGGA